UGCAUGGUGAAGUAAGAUCCUGUUCCAGGAGGUGUAUUUCAUGAGUGCAGAGUACCAGGACUGGCAGAAGGUGCUUUUCACUCUCAGGUACAUAAGUUUCUGUGCCUAUCCUUUAAAUACAAAAUAAGCGUUCUUACACUCCUCUCAAGUGAUGAAUUUCUGCCACUAAAACCCAUGUGAGGCAAUGAGGGCUAACCAGAUACUGUAUUUUCAAAGCAUUUAGUAUCUUUGCUCUGUGCUUUCCAGCCAACCCAAAGCUUUGGACUCCCCUCUUUGCUUUUUUUUUGCCAGGUUUUAUGGGGAUAUAUAAAGUGUGAAUGGCAUGCCAAGAGUUAGCAACUGCUUCACAUAGAUGUAGCAUUUGGAUACACUCUGGAGGAGCAAGACUAUCAGAAUGAACCUUUAAAGAACAAAAGCUACAGGGUGGACAAACUUCCACAUAUCUUUACCAAUACUCAGGUGCUCAAAGGAUAUUCUCCUGCCCACAUGCCGAGUGCACAGGCAGCAGGGACUUCCAGAACUUGAUGCCUAACCUCCCUUCUCUGGGUCUUGAAAACAUGAAAGGCAUUAAGAUGUUCUAUUUCAUGUGAUCAGCCUACUGCAUAUGGGCAUCAAUGACAGAACUACUUUCACUUCGAGCAGUGUGAUUUGUGUAAACUUCAAGAGUAUUCCUGAUGUUCCUGAAAGCUCUCUUGUACAGCUGGAAUUUAUGAAGGGGGCUGCAAUACUCCUUGGCUGAGUCACUGUCCUAGUGCUGAAUCUAAGAAAACUGAAGUGGCCAGUGAGUCCUCCUGAGAAGGACAGGUUUUCAUUAAGCACUCCAGUCUGACUGAAGUUCCUAAAAGCAGUACUGAGAGCUCGGUGCUGUGUCGCUGCAGCUCGGCCGGGGAAGGCGGAGGGGAUCGGGGAGCGCGGCUCUGUCCCUGCCGCGUCCGGGGCUCCCGGACCUGCUCCCGGCACAGCCGCGGCACGGAAUGAAGCCUCCCGCACGCUUUGAUUAACUUUGCUCCUUAAAAGCACUCCUCCCAAACUCACUGCUUCUGUAGGACCUUGAGUGCCAGCGGUCCUUAGAUACAAAGUGCACACAGUGUAAAGACAGCCACAGACACCUUCAAAGACAAAAAUACGGCACCUGGCACUUCUGCUAUGCUCUUCUGUUCUAUUUGAGUUUAAUUCUCUCAGUGGUAAGUCUUCAGUUUCUUUCUGCCUGAUGAAAUCCACCCAUCAAAGUUAACUCCAGUUUACUAAGGACACACAUACGCAGGCCAGGAUUUAUUUGGACUAAACAUUUAUUUCCAUUUUAAAUGGAGUUAAUUGCCAAUUAUCCUGACCUAAUUAAUGGUAGUGAAUGCAAAUUUGCACCCUCCCAAAAAUUUAUUCCAGGAAACAAACAGUUCUUUCCAGUCUCUGCUUGUUCUAUGACCAGCAAGGAUGAGGCACAGGCAUUUGUGUCUCAAAAGAAAUGAUUGCAAAGGGGGUAGAUUUGCUUUUGUCAGUUUCAUGUUAAUUGAUAACCAAUUAAAUAAAUGUAAAAGGCAACCAAAUCAUCUGGCCUAGGCAUGGUUUUCACUGAAAGAAGAGAAGCAUGUUUGAAACAGAAUGUUUGCACAUGCUGGAAAGCCUCAGUCAAAUAACAGUGUGAGGAGGUGGUGGGACAGGAGGGAGGGUCUGUGGUGUGCUGUACUUUGAAGUGUUUACUUCAAUCAGAUUUGGAAUUACUUUGACUAAGAUGACUUUUUUUUUUUGCAGUAAAGAAGUAAGAAAUUAAUAUUUUCAGGGUUCAUUUUAAAAAAGAAAAAAAAAAAAAGGAAACCUACUUCCGCUAUUAGAAUAUAGUGUGGUUUGAGGUUUUUACAAUACAAUUUAAUCAGAUUGCUGUAGCAUUUCAUACCUCAGUAAGGCUAUGAUGAAGAGCUAUGCUUUCCAGUCUAAAAUAAACAAACUCUAUUUUUAGUUGUUUCGGAAUAGCACUGAAAGGCAGAAGCAGAGGGAAUAAAAUGUUUCUGCUGUUUUGCAGGUGAGCAUAGCUAAUAGACCCAUAUGUGAAGAGAUUUAUUUUUAUUUUCAAAUUGUAAUGAUUUCCAAUUGAUCAAGUUAAUUGUCUUAACUAUAUGAAAAUGUGGGGAGGAGAAGAGAAGGGUUUCUUUGCAGCAGGACCAUGAGAUUCAGCCACAGUAUUGCUGAUCAGAGGAAAUAAAUCUGGGGCAGGUAAACAGACUCCCUGAUAAG